CACGUAGGGGGCGAGCGUUGUCCGGAUUUAUUGGGCGUAAAGAGCUCGUAGGCGGCUCGGUAAGUCGGGUGUGAAAUUUCGGGGCUCAACCUCGAAACGCCACCCGAUACUGCUGUGGCUAGAGUCCGGUAGGGGAGCGUGGAAUUCCUGGUGUAGCGGUGAAAUGCGUAGAGAUCGUAAGGAAGACCAGUGGCGAAGGCGGGUCUCUGGACAGUUCCUGACACUGAGGCACGAAGGCCAGGGGAGCAAACGGG
rnacentral:rRNA from 1 species